rnacentral:rRNA from 1 species
UACGAAGGGGGCUAGCGUUGCUCGGAAUCACUGGGCGUAAAGGGUGCGUAGGCGGGUUUUUAAGUCAGGGGUGAAAUCCUGGAGCUCAACUCCAGAACUGCCUUUGAUACUGGCGAUCUCGAGUCCGGGAGAGGUGAGUGGAACUGCGAGUGUAGAGGUGAAAUUCGUAGAUAUUCGCAAGAACACCAGUGGCGAAGGCGGCUCACUGGCUCGGUACUGACGCUGAGGUGCGAAAGCGUGGGGAGCAAACAGG